GAGAAAUUCGGACUAAUAUCCCAUAACAAUAUCCGGGGGCAUCUUUGGAUAUUUAAAGUUCCGGCGGUACGGGAUGGGCAUGCGUAACAUUAGCUAGUUGGUAAGGUAACGGCUUACCAAGGCUUUGAUGUUUAGGGGUCCUGAGAGGGUGGUCCCCCACACUGGUACUGAGACACGGACCAGACUCCUACGGGAGGCAGCAGUGAGGAAUAUUGGUCAAUGGGCGCAAGCCUGAACCAGCCAUCCCGCGUGCAGGAAGACGGCGCUAUGCGUUGUAAACUGCUUUUCCAGGGAGAGAAACUUGCGCACGUGUUGCGCAAUUGACGGUACCCUGGGAAUAAGCAUCGGCUAACUCCGUGCCAGCAGCCGCGGUAAUAAU
rnacentral:rRNA from 1 species